UUUGUUCCCCAGCUUUUGGCUUUGAUCAAGUGUAGUAUCUGUUCUUUUGAUUUUGAUAAAUCAAACGUGGCUUCGGUCACGCUUUAUAUCAAAUCAUUCUUUGGCUUGGGGAGGCGGCGUGUGCAGCUUGCUGUGCUCGCCGUCUCGCGUGCUGCGCGUCCUUUGCACUAACUGGGACGAAUGCUGCGGCGCACCUACU
rnacentral:snRNA from 1 species